GACUCUGGCUCUCUCUUGUUCAACUUGAUUGGAAACUUAGCAUUUCCGCUCCUUCUUAUUGGUGGGCUUUUUCUUCUUUCGAGACGAUCGGGUGGUGGGCUUGGUGGACCCGGAGGCCCUGGUAACCCCCUUGCGUUUGGUCAGUCGAAAGCCAAGUUCCAGAUGGAGCCUAACACUGGCGUCACGUUUGACGAUGUCGCGGGAGUUGACGAAGCGAAGCAAGACUUCAUGGAAGUGGUGGAGUUCUUGAAGAAACCUGAGAGGUUCACUGCAGUCGGUGCUCGUAUUCCUAAAGGUGUUCUUCUCAUUGGUCCU
rnacentral:misc_RNA from 1 species